rnacentral:rRNA from 1 species
UUAGUCAAUGCUCGCAAGAGUGAACUAGCUAACUGAAAUCCUUGGUGUGCCAUCGAGGAUAACGUAAGGGAAAAUAAUGAUAUUACCUUACUAUUAGUGUCGUCCAAGUGCUCGUGCCAGAAGACUCGGUAAGGCGAGAGACGCAAACGUUAUUCGUCUUGAUCAGGCGUAAAGGGUUUGUAGGCGGCUUUAAGUAUCUAAUUUUAAGUUUACUGUUUUAAUGCGAAAUUAAAUUAUUCCCAAAUUUUUUGAGGGAUAGGUAUUCUUUUCAAUGGUAAAGAUUAAUUUUUUUUACCUCUGCCCCAACUCCAUCUAAAUAUUUUUAGAUGCGCACCUUUCUCCCUUUAUUGGGGGCCGGAGCGAGAGGCAGGUGAUUAAAUUAAAUUAAUCCUAUUAAUUUAGCAUUUUAAUAUUUAUUAAAAGAUCAAUUAAAGCUAGAAUCUAGCAGAGGUUAAAACAAUACUUAAGGUAGGAGUACUAACCAUAAAUAAUAAGCAGAGUUUUAAGGGCGAAGGCUUUUAUCCACUACAGAUUGACGCUGAGAAACGAAGGUGAGGACAGAAAAAAGGAUUAGAGACCCUUGUAUCCCUCACUGUCAACGAUGAAUGGUAGUUACUAGGGAGAAAUUACCUAGAGACGAUGUUAACACGAAAACCAUUCCGCCUUGUGAGUACGACUGCAAAGUUGAAAACAAAAAAAUUAGUCGGUUUCGGAGCAAACGAAGUGAAGCAUGUUAUUU